GCCAAUAGUUAUUGUGACUACAGAGCCUGAGGUCAUAAUUGCUAUGUUGUUUAAGAGUACUUCCUUAUGAGGAAAGAUAAGGGAGUGAUGUCAGCAGAAAAACAGAGUAGGAAGCCCUAGACCCACCUUCCCUACACGAACACACAAUUGGGCAAGGUCCAUAUUAGAUUGAGAUUUAGUGUCUGGAUCUGAACUGGAAAACAGAAAGGAGAGCUAGGAAAUUACUAGAAAAACACGUGCCACCAAGCAUGAGAAAAACUAACACAGAAGCAAAAGGGCAAGAAUUCCCGUGACAAAUGCUAUUUAACUGCUAAAAAAGGAGCCCCUUUAGGCUGGAAGAAGAGGUCAGAGAGUUCCAGGAAGGUGUCUCUAGAAAACAGGUACAAAGGGGCUUCUGUCGGACACCAGAAAAGUUAGUGGGUCUCUGCAGAGGACAACGAACAACUGACCUUGGACGUGAUUGAUGAGGACUCCUGCCUCAAACCCGUAAGGCCAUCACCUGGCCAGACAUGAACCAAAUACUCCAAGACAAGGAAUAGACCAGCAGUCAUUACCUGCCCUCUGAGGACAACUUUUAAGCCACAUAGCCCAGCCUGCAGGACCCAGAGGGUAGAGGAAAUGUCUUCCUCCUCUACAGUUUGGCAACUCUGUGGAACAAAACUUCAUCUACUGGACACUGAUCACUCCUGGACUUCUACAGCCAAGAGAUCCUGGACCCUUGACAAGAGCCUGUAGGAGGCAGUGGGUUUUACCUACACUACACAUCUCUGACUGGGAGCAAUCGAGAGGAAAGUGGUAUUACAGAAAGCGGUGUAGCAGGACUCAUCUUGACAAGGAGAUUCGUCGAACUGAAAUUGGUGCUGUUUGUAGACCUUGAAUGAUUAGCUAUCUCUGUACUAAUAUUCAGGGAUUCAAGCGAAGAAGACAAAUCAAUAGUGCUUAUAUUGUCACUGAUUAUAUUGUCAAAUCUAUGGCUAGGAUGUGCAAUUUUCUAUAAUAUAAAGAAGAAAAUAUCCAAAUGAUCUGAGUUUGUGAGUCUGUCUUCAUCAAUGUUUAGGGCAAGAAAAAAGCCCAUAUGCUUUAAAGCAAGAAGAGAUUUAAUCAGGGAAUUUAGUACCUAAACAUUGUUGGAAGGGCCUAAGGAGCAUAUUAUAGGCUAGACCUCUUGAAUUACUACUAGAACAACAUGGAACUGAAGCCACCACCACGUAGAAAUGGAAAUCAAGAACCCGCCACAUCAGCCAUGAACACCUCUCAUGCCUAGAAGGAAAAAAGGAAACUUGAAAUUAGGCUUCAGAGUUUAGAAAGUAGUAGAAAGAACCAUCACCACUGCUAUCACUGCUUUUUGGUAUGGUGAAUCUGGAGUAGGAAACUGCUGUUUUGCAAGCAAGCCACGUGUUUCCAGGGACUUCCAGGUAGCAGUAAAGCCAAGAAUAUGAGGCAGGGGACCUCCACCCCCAUAUGCCUUCCAAAAGGCAUGAAUGCACCUUAAUG
rnacentral:lncRNA from 1 species